UGAUGACAUGUUUUCUGUAGCAGUGUUACAAGGAUGAGAUGCACUGACUGUUAGCCUGCAGGGUGACAUGAUUUGUGUCCAGUUUUUUCAGUGGAGCCAUUUUUGACCAAAUUAAAUCACAAACAAUUCAUUGUGAUUCUUAGGUUUCCACCCUGAUGCAUGUCGCCCUAUGGGGAAGGAGGUGGUCCCAUGCAGAAAAGGUAAAGGACGGAGGUUCUUGGUGGCUCCGUUGUGGUGGAACGACCUCCCCCUCCCACUCACAACUGCUGAAUCUUUGUCCACAUUUUAAAAGGGUCUUUAAACUCACCUCUUCCAAAUUCACUGCACUCAUCAUCUCUUAAGGUCAUCUAAGGUGUAAAUGUUCAUGCACCAGAUCUUUAAGAUGUCCAGAUAAACCUCUACACAUCUACUCCUGUAAUGUAACAUACAUGUUUAUUUGUGUCUCAAAAAAAAUUUGCUAGGAAGGUGAUCAGGAAUUGUCGAUAUUCUAAUAGUGUCUUUUUUACAGCUACUCAUGUGAUGAGCAUUGGUUCAUGUGGUGGAAAGAAACAAACUGCAUUUAAGAAUCACACGUCUGGAUCUAAGUGUCUCUUUCUGCUAAUGUAACGAACACAUUGUAUUUUCUAUGAGAUUUACAUCACUUUGGAGAAAAGCAUCUGUUAAAUGAAUACAGGUAAGGAGUAAACAUGGUAAUUAUUACAGGCCUCUUCUGUACAAACAUACCUCUGGCUUUUGGGGGAGGGGACUGUGAAGUGCAGGCCUGCUUUGAAAAUGGCAAAAAACAAACAUUAAAAAUAUUACAAACUAUGACAAUUCUGUGUAAAGCUAACCAGUUUUCAGCGCAGUAAAUUGAGUGCAGUAUUUUCUCCAAAUGUAUCUGCAGACACUUUUCUGGGACGACCCCACAGCUCUUGGCAGAUUCUCACAGGGCUACGUAGCCUAAAGAGGUUAAGAAGCUCUGAGUCGAGAUGCUCGCUUCCCUUCUCCCUACAGGCUUCAGGCUUCACUCUAAGAGUCCACCGCUUGGUCCCCCACUCAACCGGUCCAAGAUGAAAAGCUCAAAGGUUUUUGGUUCCGCUUCCGAUGUGGUGGAAUGACCUCCCCCUCUCACUCAGAACUGCUGAAUCCCUCUCUACAAUUAAGAAGGGCCUCAAAACUCACCUCAGUCAGAUUCGCUUCUACCUUGAUCUCUUAAGUGCAUGAUAAUUUUGUGCUUAUGUUUAAUCACAGUUUGUUUAAUGAUGGCAAAGCCUAUAUGCAGCUACUCAUGUAAUGUUCAUAUGGUGGAAUCUGAAAAAUUGUCAUUAACUUUAGAAUUAUGUGUCUUCAUCCAAGUCUCUCCUCCUGUUGAUGUGAAGCACUCAUUGUAUUGCUCUCUGAGAUGUACGUCGCUUUGGAGACAACCCAGCCAUCCUGCUAGUCAAGGGAAAAGGACCCGCUCUGUGAUCCCUGCCCCGUGUCACCGCUGGUGGCCAGGGUGGCGUGGCAGGCUCUUGUUUCCUGCCUCUCAUGGCGCAUUGCUGGCAAAGCCCUGCAAACCGUAUUUAAUCUUUCCUUAAUAUUACAAGAGUUAUGCAGCAGACUGGCAGCCCGUGCCGCUUGGGAGUGAUGAUUAAUGGGGAAUGUCAGGGCUGCUUCUGUUAGCGGUUCAAUUUAUAGAGAAAGAACAAACACAUUGUCAAAAUAAGAGAGGUGAGCACAACAGAAGAAAUGUGAAAUUAAAACAAACUAAGGUCCCUCUCUGUUAUACCUUUAAAGCAAAGGAAUCGGCACCGUCAUAUUGCUUCGCCGCCUUCGGAGCCAGGAAUUCCAUCAGAUGGGCCAUACCUGGUUGUACCUUGUUGUACCUGAAUGUCGUUCCCUGGCUGCACGCAGAUGCCAAGGCACUGAAGCAAACAUCCCAGAAUAAACAAGUUGUGUAUUAGUUCAGCGUCUGUCCCCAAUACUGAGAACAACUUGCCUGAUCCUCUGAAUCCAGACAAACGACCCCGCACUUGGGUCCUUUCGUCCCGUUUCAUCGUGACAACCAGAGCAGCACAGAGCAGACCUGUAGAAGAAUAAAACUUGAAUCACAGCAAACAUCAGCAAGAACAUCGUCCUGCCCAGACAGCAGCUUAGAACCAGGGAUCCAGGCAAUUUGUACAUUUAAACUGUGUGACGUUUAUGAUUAGUUGUUAUAUAAGAAAAAAAUCCAA